UGGGGAAUUUUGGACAAUGGGCGCAAGCCUGAUCCAGCCAUGCCGCGUGCGGGAAGAAGGCCUUCGGGUUGUAAACCGCUUUUGUCAGGGAAGAAAUCUUCUGAGUUAAUACCUCGGGAGGAUGACGGUACCUGAAGAAUAAGCACCGGCUAACUACGUGCCAGCAGCCGCGGUAAUACGUAGGGUGCAAGCGUUAAUCGGAAUUACUGGGCGUAAAGCGUGCGCAGGCGGUUUUGUAAGACAGAGGUGAAAUCCCCGGGCUCAACCUGGGAACUGCCUUUGUGACUGCAAGGCUUGAGUGCGGCAGAGGGGGAUGGAAUUCCGCGUGUAGCAGUGAAAUGCGUAGAUAUGCGGAGGAACACCGAUGGCGAAGGCAAUCCCCUGGGCCUGCACUGACGCUCAUGCACGAAAGCGUGGGGAGCAAACAGGAUUAGAUACCCUGGUAGUCCACGCCCCUAAACGGAUGUCAACUGGUUGUUGGGAAGGUUCCUUCUCAGUAACGUAGCUAACGCGUGAAGUUGACCGCCUGGGGAGUACGGCCGCAAGGUUGAAACUCAAAUGAAUUGACGGGGU
rnacentral:rRNA from 1 species